CAGAGAUUCUGUUGAUUGUGU
rnacentral:siRNA from 1 species